UAGGGAAUCUUCGGCAAUGGACGAAAGUCUGACCGAGCAACGCCGCGUGGGUGAAGAAGGUUUUCGGAUCGUAAAACUCUGUUGUUAGAGAAGAACAAGGACGAUAGUAACUGAACGUCCCCUGACGGUAUCUAACCAGAAAGCCACGGCUAACUACGUGCCAGCAGCCGCGGUAAUACGUAGGUGGCAAGCGUUGUCCGGAUUUAUUGGGCGUAAAGCGAGCGCAGGCGGUUUCUUAAGUCUGAUGUGAAAGCCCCCGGCUCAACCGGGGAGGGUCAUUGGAAACUGGGGGACUUGAGUGCAGAGGAGGAGGGUGGAAUUCCAUGUGUAGCGGUGAAAUGCGUAGAUAUAUGGAGGAACACCAGUGGCGAAGGCGGCUCUCUGGUCUGUAACUGACGCUGAGGCUCGAAAGCGUGGGGAGCAAACAGG
rnacentral:rRNA from 1 species